rnacentral:tRNA from 1 species
GAGGGUAUAGCUCAAGCGGUAGAGUGCAUGCUUAUAGCAUGCAUGAGGUCCUGGGUUCAAUCCCCGGUACCACCU